rnacentral:rRNA from 1 species
UACGUAGGGUGCAAGCGUUGUCCGGAAUUAUUGGGCGUAAAGAGCUCGUAGGCGGUUUGUCGCGUCUGCUGUGAAAACUCGGGGCUUAACCCCGGGCCUGCAGUGGGUACGGGCAGACUAGAGUUCGGUAGGGGAGUCUGGAAUUCCUGGUGUAGCGGUGAAAUGCGCAGAUAUCAGGAGGAACACCGGUGGCGAAGGCGGGACUCUGGGCCGAUACUGACGCUGAGGAGCGAAAGCGUGGGGAGCAAACAGG